GAGUUUGAUCCUGGCUCAGAUUGAACGCUGGCGGCAGGCCUAACACAUGCAAGUCGAGCGGUAGCACAGGGAGCUUGCUCCUGGGUGACGAGCGGCGGACGGGUGAGUAAUGUCUGGGAAACUGCCUGAUGGAGGGGGAUAACUACUGGAAACGGUAGCUAAUACCGCAUAACGUCGCAAGACCAAAGAGGGGGACCUUCGGGCCUCUUGCCAUCAGAUGUGCCCAGAUGGGAUUAGCUAGUAGGUGGGGUAAUGGCUCACCUAGGCGACGAUCCCUGGCUGGUCUGAGAGGAUGACCAGCCACACUGGAACUGAGACACGGUCCAGACUCCUACGGGAGGCAGCAGUGGGGAAUAUUGCACAAUGGGCGCAAGCCUGAUGCAGCCAUGCCGCGUGUAUGAAGAAGGCCUUCGGGUUGUAAAGUACUUUCAGCGAGGAGGAAGGCAUUGUGGUUAAUAACCGCAGUGAUUGACCGUAAUUCGCAGAAGAAGCACCGGCUAACUCCGUGCCAGCAGCCGCGGUAAUACGGAGGUGCAAGCGUUAAUCGGAAUUACUGGGCGUAAAGCGCACGCAGGCGUUCUGUCAAGUCGGAUGUGAAAUCCCCGGCUCAACCUGGGAACUGCAUUCGAAACUGGCAGGCUAGAUCUUGUAGAGGGGGGUAGAAUUCCAGGUGUAGCGGUGAAAUGCGUAGAGAUCUGGAGGAAUACCGGUGGCGAAGGCGGCCCCCUGGACAAAGACUGACGCUCAGGUGCGAAAGCGUGGGGAGCAAACAGGAUUAGAUACCCUGGUAGUCCACGCCGUAAACGAUGUCGACUUGGAGGUUGUUCCCUUGAGGAGUGGCUUCCGGAGCUAACGCGUUAAGUCGACCGCCUGGGGAGUACGGCCGCAAGGUUAAAACUCAAAUGAAUUGACGGGGGCCCGCACAAGCGGUGGAGCAUGUGGUUUAAUUCGAUGCAACGCGAAGAACCUUACCUACUCUUGACAUCCAGAGAACUUAGCAGAGAUGCUUUGGUGCCUUCGGGAACUCUGAGACAGGUGCUGCAUGGCUGUC
rnacentral:rRNA from 1 species